CACGGGGGGAGCAAGCGUUGUUCGGAAUCACUGGGCGUAAAGGGCGUGUAGGUGGUCAAGUAAGUGGAAUGUGAAACGCCUCGGCUUACCCGAGGACCUGCAUCCCAAACUGCUUGGCUUGAGUAUGGGAGAGGAUGAGGGAAUUCCUGGUGUAGCGGUGAAAUGCGUAGAUAUCAGGAGGAACACCGGUGGCGAAAGCGCUCAUCUGGCCCAAUACUGACGCUGAGGCGCGAAAGCUAGGGGAGCAAACGGG
rnacentral:rRNA from 1 species